AGAAUCAACGCUGGCGGCGUGCCUAACACAUGCAAGUCGAACGAGAAAGUGGAGCAAUCCAUGAGUAAAGUGGCGACCGGGUGAGUAACACGUGACUAACCUACCUUUGAGUGGGGGAUAACAUCGGGAAACCGAUGCUAAUACCGCAUAACAUCGCAAGAUCAAAGCAGCAAUGCGCUUAAAGAGGGGGUCGCGGCUGAUUAGCUAGUUGGCGGGUAACGCCACAAGGCGAAGAUCGGUA
rnacentral:rRNA from 1 species